CCCUUAGGUGUUCUGGGCCGCACGCGCGCUACACUGAUGCAUUCAACAAGCCUAGCCUUGACCGAGAGGUCCGGGUAAUCUUUGAAACUGCAUCGUGAUGGGGCUAGAUUAUUGCAAUUAUUAAUCUUCAACGAGGAAUGCCUAGUAAGCGUGAUUCAUCAAAUCGCGUUGAUUACGUCCCUGCCCUUUGUACACACCGCCCGUCGCUCCUACCGAUUGAAUGUGUUGGUGAGGAGCUCGGAUUGGCAGCAGUUGGUGGUUCGCCACCGGCUAUUGCUGGGAAGUCCUCCAAACCGCCCCAUUUAGAGGAAGGAGAAGUCGUAACA
rnacentral:rRNA from 1 species